rnacentral:rRNA from 1 species
GAUGAACGCUGGCGGCGUGCCUAAUACAUGCAAGUCGAGCGAACAGACGAGGAGCUUGCUCCUCUGACGUUAGCGGCGGACGGGUGAGUAACACGUGGAUAACCUACCUAUAAGACUGGGAUAACUUCGGGAAACCGGAGCUAAUACCGGAUAACAUGUUGAACCGCAUGGUUCAACAGUGAAAGCCGGUCUUGCUGUCACUUAUAGAUGGAUCCGCGCCGCAUUAGCUAGUUGGUAAGGUAACGGCUUACCAAGGCAACGAUGCGUAGCCGACCUGAGAGGGUGAUCGGCCACACUGGAACUGAGACACGGUCCAGACUCCUACGGGAGGCAGCAGUAGGAAAUCUUCCGCAAUGGGCGAAAGCCUGACGGAGCAACGCCGCGUGAGUGAAGAAGGUCUUCGGAUCGUAAAACUCUGUUAUUAGGGAAGAACAAAUGUGUAAGUAACUAUGCACGUCUUGACGGUACCUAAUCAGAAAGCCACGGCUAACUACGUG